rnacentral:piRNA from 1 species
UCAAGGGACAAAACCCAAAUGCAACCUUUGG